rnacentral:rRNA from 1 species
UACGUAGGGAGCAAGCGUUGUCCGGAAUCAUUGGGCGUAAAGCGCGCGUAGGUGGCUUCGUAAGUCCGUUAUGAAAGUCAAAGGCUCAACCUUUGAAAGCCGAUGGAUACUGCGGAGCUAGAGUACGGAAGAGGCGAGUGGAAUUCCUGGUGUAGCGGUGGAAUGCGCAGAUAUCAGGAGGAACACCAAUAGCGAAGGCAGCUCGCUGGGACGUUACUGACACUGAGGCGCGAAAGCGUGGGGAGCAAACAGG